GACGAACGCUGGCGGCGUGCCUAAUACAUGCAAGUAGAACGCUGAAGAGAGGAGCUUGCUCUUCUUGGAUGAGUUGCGAACGGGUGAGUAACGCGUAGGUAACCUGCCUUGUAGCGGGGGAUAACUAUUGGAAACGAUAGCUAAUACCGCAUAACAAUGGAUGACACAUGUCAUUUAUUUGAAAGGGGCAAUUGCUCCACUACAAGAUGGACCUGCGUUGUAUUAGCUAGUAGGUGAGGUAAUGGCUCACCUAGGCGACGAUACAUAGCCGACCUGAGAGGGUGAUCGGCCACACUGGGACUGAGACACGGCCCAGACUCCUACGGGAGGCAGCAGUAGGGAAUCUUCGGCAAUGGGGGCAACCCUGACCGAGCAACGCCGCGUGAGUGAAGAAGGUUUUCGGAUCGUAAAGCUCUGUUGUAAGUGAAGAACGGGUGUGAGAGUGGAAAGUUCACACUGUGACGGUAGCUUACCAGAAAGGGACGGCUAACUACGUG
rnacentral:rRNA from 1 species